rnacentral:rRNA from 1 species
GACGAACGCUGGCGGCGUGCUUAACACAUGCAAGUCGAACGGAGAGGCCUUUUCGGAGGUACUCGAGUGGCGAACGGGUGAGUAACACGUGGGUGAUCUGCCCUGCACUCUGGGAUAAGCCUGGGAAACUGGGUCUAAUACCGGAUAGGACCGCACUUUAGUGUGUGUGGUGGAAAGUUUUUUCGGUGUAGGAUGAGCCCGCGGCCUAUCAGCUUGUUGGUGGGGUAAUGGCCUACCAAGGCGGCGACGGGUAGCCGGACUGAGAGGUUGGUCGGCCACAUUGGGACUGAGAUACGGCCCAGACUCCUACGGGAGGCGGCAGUGGGGAAUAUUGCACAAUGGGCGCAAGCCUGAUGCAGCGACGCCGCGUGGGGGAUGACGGCCUUCGGGUUGUAAACUCCUUUCGCCAGGGACGAAGCGUUUUGUGACGGUACCUGGAGAAGAAGCACCGGCUAACUACGUG